CAAAUGGCGGCCCUCG
rnacentral:rRNA from 1 species